AGACACAAAGAGCAUCGACUUUUCGAACGCAUAUUGCGGUAUCGGGCCUGCUCGAUACCACGCCUAUCUGAGGGUCGAAUAAUCGAUAUAAAAUCGUUUUACGACUAAUCAUAUAUAUAUAUAUAUAUGUGACUGAUGAAAGUAUAGUCGUAGUAGACGGAAAUGAUUCGAGAUUACUUACGAUGAAUAGUAAUCAUCGAAUCCAAGGGUACCAGCUAACGCUACGCGUGUGUCGAACGUUUUUUAUACGCACGAUAGUGUUAGUGUUGGUAACCAGCGAAUGAAAACACGUAGGCCGAACGUGGCCAGCUGUCCUUUUUCGUAUAUAACUAGUUCCCGUUUGAUGAUCGGGCGAUCGUAAAUAGCUACGUAUAUACGAAAGAAUGAACGAAGGACUCUGGCCUUAGUUCUGGAUCUUCGUUUUGACGUUUGACCUCAGAUUAGACGUGAAAACCCGCUGAAUUUAAGCAUAUAACUAGGCGGAGGAAAAGAAAUUAACGAAGAUUUCCUUAGUAACGGCGAGUGAAA
rnacentral:rRNA from 1 species